CUGAUGUUUGCGGUUAUUAUAACUGUUACUGCACGACUGACCUUGAAGGGUUUAGGAUUAAACAUUCACACCAUACUGCACACGGUGGCCAGGGUUGCGGACCCCGCAAGCACCAUAUGCGGAUUUCCCAGCAAUAAACAUCGGUGGACGCCGAGCGGUUCUUCCCGUUUGACAGACGAAUAUAUAUUCAUCGUAUAUUUACAAGCUUGCUUAACGUAAAUAACGAUAGUCGGCGGAUGGAUUACGAUUCAAACGGUGCGAUGAUAAGGUUCAGGUCCAAGACCUGUUCUUCUCUGUUUGCAUGGAUAAUCUUAUCUGAGUUGAGGAAGUGGGUCAGCUUCUUUCUGCCACCAAGGACGCAAUACUGAUUCCCAACACGGCAAUCCCAUUUUACAACACCCACCCUCAGUGGAGAGAUGCAUCUUUCCUUCUGGGUCUCCCCCCCUCCUUGGCUGUGCUGCCUGGAGACCCAGAUAUAUCAAGAAAUUCCCCCUACCCUGCUGCCGGCGACGCCCCUGCUGUCUGUGACGUCCUUCCGCGUCCUUCCAGCCUGCCCGCCCUUGUCCCUGUGAUGUCUCCCUUUCCUUCCUUGCUGCUGUACCGCUGUUCAUUCGGUCGUCAGAAGCAGCACCAGCAACUGCGUGCCAUCGCAUUGAGACUCAAAUCUUAAAAUUUGGACAGUGUGAAUUUGCUCGUUUGACU